AUUUAAAUAGUUUAUAUAAAUUUUAAAAACAUAAUAUUGAAGAUAUUAAGAUAAUAUAAAAAUAUUUUUAAAUA
rnacentral:tRNA from 1 species